rnacentral:rRNA from 1 species
AUACGGAGGGUGCAAGCGUUACUCGGAAUCACUGGGCGUAAAGCGCGCGCAGGCGGCUUGAUAAGUUGGAUGUGAAAGCCUACGGCUCAACCGUAGAACUGCAUCCAAAACUGUCAGGCUUGAGUGUGGGAGAGGAAGAUGGAAUUAGUUGUGUAGGGGUAAAAUCCGUAGAGAUAACUAGGAAUACCAAAAGCGAAGGCAAUCUUCUGGAACACUACUGACGCUGAGGCGCGAAGGCGUGGGGAGCAAACAGGAUUAGAAACCCUUGUAGUCC